UGCCCAAUAGUCAUCUUUGCUCGCUAUAUGUUUAUUAAGUGAUGAUAUUUUAUUUCAUUACCAGGCUAUGUACAAAACCUGAUGGAUUUAUUGUUCAGCAGUGUGGUGGGAACCCCCUUACCAAGGCUGAGGCAGUGGCCAGACACCAGAGUAAUGGAGGACACUUAAAUCAGCUCCUGCAUUCCCAGUCUCUCUUUUCUCGCCCUCCUGGUUUUGAUCCUUGCCUGUACUGACUCUGAGCCCACCUGCCUGACCAGUCUGCCUGCCCCUGACCUCGAGCCUGCUUAUCGUCUUGUACUGUUUGAACUCUGAUCUGGUUACUGAACCUCUGUCUGUCCUGACCCCGAGCCUGCCUAUCGCCUGGUACUGUUUGGACUCUGACCUGGUUUAUGAACUCUCGCCUGUACCAGGUCUGCCUCUUGCCUACCCCUUUUGUCAUAAUACAUAUCGGAGCUCAACCAUCUGCCUCCUGUGUCGGCAUUUGGGUUUCGCCUUGUGCCCUUUAAUAUUAUAUCAAUGCACGGUAGAUCCCUUUUCAGUGCAUCACAAACUGGAAUUAGUGUAAUAUAGGAACUGUACUAAAUCUAACAGAGCUAUUGUACUGUCGAUUGUGCCACCAUGAUGAGUGUGAAUUUAGUGACCCUGUGCAGAGAAAAGAAGCACAGCUUUACUAGUCGGGUGACGGAUACUCAAAUGGGAAAGCUUUGUAAAGAUCGGCAAGAACAUCGGGUUGGUGAUGUCUUUAGUGCUGUACAGCAUUUUGAUGUGUGGCUCCAAAAAUGCUGACAAAUUCUUAAUUAAAUGUCCCCCCCUUUUCAUUGAACUGAAGUGACGCUUCAUUAAUUGUGAUUGUUCACCCACAUGAUAAAUACAAUAGACAAUGGCUGAAGGGACAAUACAACACAGAUACAAAGUAUUUCUCUUUCCACUUAAAAGCAACGGAAAAUUUGUCAAUGCCUAAAGAUUUUAAUGAAUUUUCAGAAUGGCGUUUAGAAUUGGGUUAGAUGAAUGUUUGAGCUUACACCGUCAAUUAAUAUUUUACCCAUUGUGCAUGUUGUGCUCCAAAAACUGGGCUUGCAUAGCAUUGCCAAAUCCUUAAGACUUUUAUGUUUGCUGAAAUAUCAUUUCUAUUUCUUUCAGCGGCUUUAGGUCGACUUGUUUGCCAUUUCUGUCAACUGUGAAUUUUCUUUGGUGUUUGUUUUACUUUGUGUGUCGUUUGCUCUCCCCAUUUACAAUAUCUCUGUCUCAGAAUAAAUAAAUAAAAACUAUUGGAUUUUUA